AGCGGGCGUCCGCACUAAGAUCGGUAUCAAUAUGGGCACACCGAGGGAGCUCAGUGUGACCAGGUUGUCUAAGGAGGGACGUACAGGCCAAGGGCGGAAACGCAGCAGGCAAAAGUCCCCGUGUCGAUCAGUAGUGGGAUCGCGCCUGU
rnacentral:sRNA from 1 species